GACCGUGUAGCUCAGUUGGCAGAGCAUUGGGCUAGUAUUCCAAAGGUUGUAGGUUCGAUUCCCAUCGUGGCCA
rnacentral:tRNA from 1 species